rnacentral:rRNA from 1 species
UACGAAGGGGGCUAGCGUUGCUCGGAAUUACUGGGCGUAAAGCGCACGUAGGCGGCUUUCUAAGUCGGGGGUGAAAUCCUGGAGCUCAACUCCAGAACUGCCUUCGAUACUGGAGAGCUUGAGUCCGGGAGAGGUGAGUGGAACUGCGAGUGUAGAGGUGAAAUUCGUAGAUAUUCGCAAGAACACCAGUGGCGAAGGCGGCCCACUGGUCCGGUACUGACGCUGAGGUGCGAAAGCGUGGGGAGCAAACAGGG